rnacentral:rRNA from 1 species
GAUGAACGCUGGCGGCGUGCCUAGUACAUGCAAGUCGAGCGAACAGACGAGAGUGCUUGCACUCUCUGACGUUAGCGGCGGACGGGUGAGUAACACGUGGGUAACCUACCUAUAAGACUGGGAUAACUUCGGGAAACCGGAGCUAAUACCGGAUAAUAUUUAGCUUCGCAUGAAGCAAUAGUGAAAGACGGUUCUGCUGUCACUUAUAGAUGGACCCGCGGUGUAUUAGCUAGUUGGUGAGGUAACGGCUCACCAAGGCAACGAUACAUAGCCGACCUGAGAGGGUGAUCGGCCACACUGGGACUGAGACACGGCCCAGACUCCUACGGGAGGCAGCAGUAGGGAAUCUUCCGCAAUGGACGAAAGUCUGACGGAGCAAUGCCGCGUGAGUGAAGAAGGUUUUCGGAUCGUAAAACUCUGUUGUAAGGGAAGAACAAGUACGUUAGUAACUGAACGUACCUUGACGGUACCUUACCAGAAAGCCACGGCUAACUACGUG